ensembl:misc_RNA
CUGCAAAUUGGAGUUCUCCCCUUUGCCACAGAGAGGGGACAGCUGAGACAGCAUCUGCACAAACAGCCUGCCCACAGCCCCUGCCAGCCUGCCUCAGCUCUGACCUUGAGGAGCUGCCUCCAAGUGGGAAAGGCAAACUCCCCCUUCCCUUGCAGCCCUGGGCUUCU